rnacentral:tRNA from 1 species
GCUAAAUUAGUUUAUAAAAAUACCAGCCUGUGGAUCUGGAGAUAAGAAAUUUUCUUAUUUAGCC